AGUGAACGCUGGCGGUAGGCCUAACACAUGCAAGUCGAACGGCAGCGCAGUAAGAGCUUGCUCUUACGGGUGGCGAGUGGCGGACGGGUGAGGAAUACAUCGGAAUCUACUUUUUCGUGGGGGAUAACGUAGGGAAACUUACGCUAAUACCGCAUACGACCUACGGGUGAAAGCAGGGGAUCUUCGGACCUUGCGCGAUUGAAUGAGCCGAUGUCGGAUUAGCUAGUUGGCGGGGUAAAGGCCCUCCAAGGCGACGAUCCGUAGCUGGUCUGAGAGGAUGAUCAGCCACACUGGAACUGAGACACGGUCCAGACUCCUACGGGAGGCAGCAGUGGGGAAUAUUGGACAAUGGGCGCAAGCCUGAUCCAGCCAUACCGCGUGGGUGAAGAAGGCCUUCGGGUUGUAAAGCCCUUUUGUUGGGAAAGAAAAGCAGCAGGUUAAUACCCCGCUGUUCUGACGGUACCCAAAGAAUAAGCACCGGCUAACUUCGUG
rnacentral:rRNA from 1 species